rnacentral:rRNA from 1 species
UGGGGAAUAUUGCACAAUGGGCGAAAGCCUGAUGCAGCGACGCCGCGUGAGGGAUGACGGCCUUCGGGUUGUAAUCCUCUUUCAGCAGGGAAGAAGCCACAAGUGACGGUACCUGCAGAAGAAGCGCCGGCUAACUACGUGCCAGCAGCCGCGGUAAUACGUAGGGCGCAAGCGUUGUCCGGAAUUAUUGGGCGUAAAGAGCUCGUAGGCGGUUUGUCGCGUCUGCUGUGAAAGCCCGGGGCUUAACCCCGGGUGUGCAGUGGGUACGGGCAGACUAGAGUGCAGUAGGGGAGACUGGAAUUCCUGGUGUAGCGGUGGAAUGCGCAGAUAUCAGGAGGAACACCGAUGGCGAAGGCAGGUCUCUGGGCUGUUACUGACGCUGAGGAGCGAAAGCAUGGGGAGCGAACA